rnacentral:tRNA from 1 species
GGCAGAGUAGUAUAAUAAGUAUGGUGGGUUCAUACCCUGAAGGUGGGAGUGUGCGCCCUUCUGCUU